UACGAAGGGGGCUAGCGUUGCUCGGAAUGACUGGGCGUAAAGGGCGCGUAGGCGGAUGGCACAGUCAGAUGUGAAAUUCCCGGGCUUAACCUGGGGGCUGCAUUUGAUACGUGUGAUCUAGAGUGAGGAAGAGGGUCGUGGAAUUCCCAGUGUAGAGGUAGAAAUUCGUAGAUAUUGGGAAGAACACCGGUGGCGAAGGCGGCGACCUGGUCCUUGACUGACGCUGAGGCGCGAAAGCAUGGGGAGCGAACAGG
rnacentral:rRNA from 1 species